GGGAUUUUUAAGCUACACAUUAGCCCAAAGUGGCCGAUUAUGAAAAAAUAACUCUUAUUUUUGCUUUUUAUGAAAUUUGGCUAUAUAAUUAUUUAAUUUGUAUUCCAAAAAUAUUAUACAUGUGAUAUUUCUACAAUUUCUUAAAGUUCACUUGCUAGAUUCCUGACUCAGCCUAUAGGAUUAAUAACAUUGUCGGCCCCUCAGUUAUUAGUUAAUUUUGAUUUCAAUCCUUAUAAUAUCUGAUCAAGUGUAUUUAGUCAUCAAUUAAUUAAUAUUCUCCUUUAAUUUCUUUUGAAUAGAAAAUUACCAAAAUUAUUAAUUGUUCUACUAUUUAAUUACUCAUGUGUUAAUUAAACUUGUAUUUAUUAAUUAAACUUGUAUUUAUUACUGCUUUUUGAGUAGCAUAAUUCUGAAAAUUGUUAAAAUAUGAAAUAUUCUCCUAUAAAUAGGAAUAAAAACACAUUUCAAUUAAUUGAAAGUUAGAUAUUAGUCAUAAUAUAUCACAAAGAUCGAAUCAGAUGUUACCAAUAAAUUAGAGACCAAAAAUAUUAGUAUCCCGACCUGUUAAAGUAGCACUAACCAUUCAUAUAAGUUAAAACCCC